UACGGGGGGGGCAAGCGUUGUUCGGAAUUACUGGGCGUAAAGGGCGCGUAGGCGGCCUGCUAAGUCGGACGUGAAAUCCCUCGGCUCAACCGGGGAACUGCGUCCGAUACUGGCGAGGCUUGAAUCCGGGAGAGGGAUGUGGAAUUCCAGGUGUAGCGGUGAAAUGCGUAGAUAUCGGGAGGAAUACCAGUGGCGAAGGCGGCCUUCUGGACGGAUACUGACGCUGAGGCGCGAAAGCCAGGGGAGCAAACGGG
rnacentral:rRNA from 1 species